rnacentral:rRNA from 1 species
CAAUAGCGUAUAUUAAAGUUGUUGCAGUUAAAAAGCUCGUAGUUGGACCUUGGACCUGGACAGGCGGUCCGCCUCACGGCGUGUACUGUCUUGCUGGGUCUUUCCUCUUGGUGAUCUGUUGUUUCGGCAGCAGGGAACCAGGACUUUUACUUUGAGAAAAUUAGAGUGUUCAAAGCAGGCUCGACGCCGGAAUAUAUUAGCAUGGAAUAAUAAAAUAGGACGUGCGGUUCUAUUUUGUUGGUUUUUGGAAUCGCCGUAAUGAUUAAUAGGGACAGUCGGGGGCAUUAGUACUCACAUGCUAGAGGUGAAAUUCUUGGAUUUUGUGAAGACUAACUUCUGCGAAAGCAUUUGCCAAGGAUGUUUUCAUUAA